GUCAAAGGGGGAGGCCGCGAGGACACUUAGAGACAAAGAGCAGCUCGUCAGCUCACCCGUCUGAAGUAUCUCGCCAGCCGGCCCGUCUAAAGCAGCUCGUCAGCUCACCCGUCUGAAGCAUCUCGUCAGCCGGUCCGUCUCAAGUAGCUCAUCAGCUCACCCGUCUCAAGCAGCUCGUCAGCUCACCCGUCCGAAGUAUCUCGCCAGCCGGCCCGUCUCAAGUAGCUUAUCAUCUCGCCCGUCUCAAGCAGCUCGUCAGCUCACCCGUCCGAAGUACCUCGUUUGCCCAUCUAUCUUGAGUAGCUCGUUUACUCGUCCGUCCGAAGUGUCUCGCCGACUUGCCCGCCCAAAGUAACUAACCUACUCGCACGUCUCGAGAAGCCAUUCAACUCGUCACUUAUCCGCCGGAUCAUCCCUAAAACUG